rnacentral:rRNA from 1 species
GAUGAACGCUAGCGGCAGGCCUAAUACAUGCAAGUCGAACGAGAUUAAGAGGCUUGCUUCUUAUGAAAGUGGCGCACGGGUGCGUAACGCGUAUGCAACCUACCUUAAUCAGGGGGAUAGCCCGAAGAAAUUCGGAUUAAGACCGCAUAAAAACACAGGAUAGCAUUAUCCAAUGUUCAAAUAUUUAUAGGAUUAAGAUGGGCAUGCGUGUCAUUAGCUAGUUGGCGGGGUAACGGCCCACCAAGGCGACGAUGACUAGGGGAUCUGAGAGGAUGACCCCCCACACUGGUACUGAGACACGGACCAGACUCCUACGGGAGGCAGCAGUAAGGAAUAUUGGUCAAUGGAGGGAACUCUGAACCAGCCAUGCCGCGUGCAGGAAGGCAGCCCUCUGGGUCGUAAACUGCUUUUAUUCGGGAAUAAACCUUUCUACGUGUAGGAAGCUGAAUGUACCGAAGGAAUAAGGAUCGGCUAACUCCGUG